rnacentral:tRNA from 1 species
GAGGGUAUAGCUCAGUGGUAGAGUGCAUGCCUAGCAUGCACGAUGUCCUGGGUUCAAUCCCCAUCACCUCCA